rnacentral:rRNA from 1 species
AUUGAACGCUGGCGGCAGGCCUAACACAUGCAAGUCGAACGAGUGGCGGACGGGUGAGUAAUGUCUGGGAAACUGCCUGAUGGAGGGGGAUAACUACUGGAAACGGUAGCUAAUACCGCAUACCAUCGGAUGUGCCCAGAUGGGAUUAGCUAGUAGGUGGGGUAAAGGCUCACCUAGGCGACGAUCCCUAGCUGGUCUGAGAGGAAGACCAGCAACACGGGAACUGAGACACGGUCCAGACUCCUACGGGAGGCAGCAGUGGGAAAUAUUGCACAAUGGGCGCAAGCCUGAUGCAGCCAUACCGCGUGUAUGAAGAAGGCCUUCGGGUUGUAAAGUACUUUCAGCGGGGAGGCGUUACCCGCAGAAGAAGCACCGGCUUACUCCGAGCCAGCAGCCACGGUAGUUC